CCUACGGGCGGCAGCAGUGAGGAAUAUUGGUCAAUGGACGAGAGUCUGAACCAGCCAAGUAGCGUGAAGGAUGACUGCCCUAUGGGUUGUAAACUUCUUUUAUAAAGGAAUAAAACGAGGCACGUGUGCCUUUUUGCAUGUACUUUAUGAAUAAGGAUCGGCUAACUCCGUGCCAGCAGCCGCGGUAAUACGGAGGAUCCGAGCGUUAUCCGGAUUUAUUUGGUUUAAAGGGAGCGUAGGUGGGUUGUUAAGUCAGUUGUGAAAGUUUGCGGCUCAACCGGAAAAUUGCAAUUGAUACUGGCAGUCUUGAGUACAGUUGAGGUAGGCGGAAAUCGGGGUGUAGCGGUGGAAUGCUUAGAUAUCACGAAGAAACCCGAUUGCGAAGGGAGCUUAAUAAACUGUGACUGACAUUGAUGCUCGAAAGUGUGGG
rnacentral:rRNA from 1 species